GGAGUUGUGGCUCAGUGGUAAAGCACCCGCCUCGCAAGUGCGAGACCCUGGGUUUGAUUCUCAGCACCA
rnacentral:tRNA from 1 species